rnacentral:rRNA from 1 species
ACGCUCGACACCUACCGGAGGCAGCAGUGGGGAAUAUUGCACAAUGGGGGAAACCCUGAUGCAGCGACGCCGCGUGAGCGAAGAAGUAUUUCGGUAUGUAAAGCUCUAUCAGCAGGGAAGAAACUGACGGUACCUGACUAAGAAGCACCGGCUAAAUACGUGCUAGCAGCCGCGGUAAUCUGAGCGGGCUGGCAAGGC